GAUGAACGCUGGCGGCGUGCCUAAUACAUGCCAGUCGAGCGAACGGACGAGAAGCUUGCUUCUCUGAUGUUAGCGGCGGACGGGUGAGUAACACGUGGAUAACCUACCUAUAAGACUGGGAUAACUUCGGGAAACCGGAGCUAAUACCGGAUAAUAUUUUGAACCGCAUGGUUCAAAAGUGAAAGACGGUCUUGCUGUCACUUAUAGAUGGAUCCGCGCUGCAUUAGCUAGUUGGUAAGGUAACGGCUUACCAAGGCAACGAUGCAUAGCCGACCUGAGAGGGUGCUCGGCCACACUGGAACUGAGACACGGUCCAGACUCCUACGGGAGGCAGCAGUAGGGAAUCUUCCGCAAUGGGCGAAAGCCUGACGGAGCAACGCCGCGUGAGUGAUGAAGGUCUUCGGAUCGUAAAACUCUGUUAUUAGGGAAGAACAUAUGUGUAAGUAACUGUGCACAUCUUGACGGUACCUAAUCAGAAAGCCACGGCUAACUACGUG
rnacentral:rRNA from 1 species